GACUUACACAUUUUAGAUAUAUUAUAUGUGAGGAUUGGUUCAAUGUAUAGAAACAUAAAAUAAAAACAAUUAUCAUCUGUAAUAAUACAACCAGGAAUUUAAAGUAUUUUGUCUAGAAUAAGUAAAAAAAAAGUAUUAAAUAGCAGAGAAGAUCCUUAUAAUUUAGUUGCAACUAAAAGCUAAAUAAAAAGUAUAAAAACAAUCCAAGAACUUCAAUUGACCUUGAUACACUUGACACCAAAACAUAUCAUGAACUCAUAUCGUUCUGUCCUAUUGAAAAUUGAAUGCGUUUGGUUAAAAUCAAAUAUUAGCAUUAUUUGUAAUUCAAUUGCAUUAAAAGUUGAAAAAGGGAAUUAAACAUUAAAAGAAAGAAUCUAACCUUAUGUUGAAUUCGAGGGAAGCAAAAUAUCUUUGUACACAACAUUUCUUGUGAAGACUCCUUCAUGACAAAUGUUUAAUUUUUCUACCUAUUUACUCUUUGGUAAGAAAAUAUAUAACAUGAAAUGAAGAGUACUCACAAUAAAGAAGUAAGGAUGCUUGUGUAGCUUGAGGAACAUAUGAGUACCAAAUAGAUAACAGAACAAUAAAGACACAUUCAAGCUCAGUACCUUUUGAAUAUGAGUCGAUGAGUACCUAAUAAACAUGCAGGCGUAACAUUUUUCUUCUUAGACAAAAUCUAAGAUAGAAAAGAACAAAGUGUCAUUUGAUAGCCAAAUAAAUUAAUAAAACGCAGAAGAAAUAGAUAGAGAAAUACUUUUGAAGUACCAUCUCCCAGCACGCCAGCUCUUCACGUCUAAUGCAUCGAACCACUUAUACACACGGGCACUGUUCUAAAAAUCCCCGCCUAGCGCCGCCUAGGCCCCG
rnacentral:lncRNA from 1 species